rnacentral:rRNA from 1 species
UACGGGGGGGGCAAGCGUUGUUCGGAAUUACUGGGCGUAAAGGGCUCGUAGGUGGCCAACUAAGUCAGACGUGAAAUCCCUCGGCUUAACCGGGGAACUGCGUCUGAUACUGGUUGGCUUGAGUUUGGGAGAGGGAUGCGGAAUUCCAGGUGUAGCGGUGAAAUGCGUAGAUAUCUGGAGGAACACCGGUGGCGAAGGCGGCAUCCUGGACCGAAAUUGACGCUGAGGCGCGAAAGCCAGGGGAGCAAACGGG